UACGGAGGGUGCAAACGUUGCUCGGAAUCAUUGGGCGUAAAGCGCGCGCAGGCGGUCCUUUAAGUCUGAUGUGAAAGCCCACGGCUCAACCGUGGAGGGUCAUUGGAAACUGGGGGACUUGAGUGCAGAAGAGGAGAGUGGAAUUCCACGUGUAGCGGUGAAAUGCGUAGAGAUGUGGAGGAACACCAGUGGCGAAGGCGACUCUCUGGUCUGUAACUGACGCUGAGGCGCGAAAGCGUGGGGAGCAAACAGG
rnacentral:rRNA from 1 species